UCCCAUGUCUGAUGUGUUCUCAUUUUUUUGCAGGAAUGCAUUCUGCUCAAAGGAGUAAAGGCAUGAAUUCUUUUCUUAAAACGAAAGUAACAGCAAAGAACCUACUGUUUAGCUUUGUUCGGAGAUACCAAAAUAUGAUAAAUAGCAUUCGCGAGGCCGAGAAUUUGGACGAUCACAAAGAUACUUUCUGGCAUCCUAGAUUUAUUACGUCUAUGGACAUUGAGAAAGCGCUCUGAGUUUCUUUACCACUGCUAUUUUUCUUCUUUUUCAAUAGGAGAUGUGGAAAAGCUCCAUCUAUAAUAUAUUACCACCGAAUGACCGGUCAACCGAGGUAUUUCUUCUUCCUUUGCAUCAUUUUUUGUCUCU
rnacentral:lncRNA from 1 species